ACCACCCCCUUCACCAUUGGCUUUUCCCAACCCGACCACGUUCCAUAUUAUUCCUCGAACUCCAGUCACCUCCUAUGCUCCCCCAUCUUUCAGCCCUCCUCCUACCCCGCAAUCAGUCUACGGGGUACCAACUUUUUAAACACGAUGUGACGCAUGAAGCCGGCGAGUAACUCAAGAAUUCGACACCACAAAUGAGAGCAUUGUUCUUGCUUCUUGUGAGAAGUGCAUAACCUCAAUUAUCUAUUAUGUACCAUAAUUUUAAACACUAAUGAAAUAAAAGUCAUGGCUAGCCAAAAGAAA